GUCGAGAAUCAUUCGCAAUGGGCGAAAGCCUGACGGUGCGACGCCGCGUGGAGGAUGAAGGCCCUAGGGUCGUAAACUCCUGUCAUCAGGGAGUAAAGACUCGUGUAGUCACUGACACGGGUCCUGAUAGUACCUGAAGAGGAAGGGACGGCAAACUUCGUGCCAGCAGCCGCGGUAAUACGAAGGUCCCAAGCGUUGUUCGGAUUUACUGGGCGUAAAGAGUCUGUAGGCGGCGGGGUAAGUCAGAUGUGAAAUCCCGGGGCUCAACCCCGGAACUGCAUCCGAUACUGCCUGGCUAGAGUAUUGGAGGGGAGUCUGGAAUUCUCGGUGUAGCAGUGAAAUGCGUAGAUAUCGAGAGGAACACUAGUGGCGAAGGCGAGACUCUGGACAAUUACUGACGCUGAGGUGCGAAAGCAUGGGGAGCAAACAGGAUUAGAAACCCGAGUAGUCC
rnacentral:rRNA from 1 species